UCUUUUGCCAGAUCAGAUAAAACAGUCGCAUGAACUGAAAACAUCCUUGUGCAUUCUGAACAGAUUACUCUCCAUUCAGAAUGCAAGGGGAUAUGCCUGAGCAGUUCUUUUUCAGUAUUGAGCCACUGUGACGGAACUCUAUGCUGGGCAAGAUAAACAUUAUUGU